GAUGAACGCUGGCGGCGUGCCUAAUACAUGCAAGUCGGGCGAACGGACGAGAAGUUCUCCUCUCUGAUGUUAGCGGCGGACGGGUGAGUAACACGUGGAUAACCUACCUAUAAGACUGAGAUAACUUCGGGAGACCGGAGGUAAUCCCGGAAGAUAUUUUCAACCGUAUGGAUUAAAAGUGAAUGACGGUCUUGCUGUUACGCAUAGAUAGAUCGGCGCUGCAUUAGCUAGUUGGUAAGGUAACGGCUUACCAAGGCAACGAUGCAUAGCCGACCUGAGAGGGUGAUCGGCCACACCGCAACUGAGACGCGGUCCAGACUCCUACGCGAGGCAGCAGUGGGGAAUCUUCCGCUAUGGGCGGAAGCCUGACGGGACACCGCCGCGUGGGUGAUGAAGGUCUUCGGAUCGUAAAACUCUGUUAUUAAGGAAGAACAUAAGUGUAAGUAACUGUGCACAUCUUGACGGUACCUAAUCAGAAAGCCACGGCUAACUACGUG
rnacentral:rRNA from 1 species